rnacentral:lncRNA from 1 species
CUUGGGUAAAAAUGGCUGAAUAUUUAGCUUCGAUAUUCGGGACUGAGAAGGACAAGGUUAACUGCUCUUUUUACUUUAAGAUCGGGGUCUGCCGGCACGGGGACCGGUGCUCCCGGCUUCACAACAAGCCGACAUUCAGCCAGGUGAGACCCGGCACGGAGCCUCGGGGGUUAACGGCUCCCUGGCCCUUCCCCUUCUGGGGCCGUCGUCACCAUGUCCCGCCUAUUCCGGGUUCCUGAGUCCCUCCCCACCGCCCGGCUUUUUUUCUCAUUGGACCUUUCUGCAGGCUCCUCCCACCGGUCUUCGUGCCGUUUUCCCGGGAACUUGGUCGCGCCCCCAUGCGUACAGGCUACACACGGCGGCUGUUCAUCUUUGCCAGUCCCUUCCAUCCCGCUGUUCAUCCUUGCCAGUCCCCUCCAUCCCUUUUCUGGUUUCUUAGGGGCAAAGGAUCGCCGAUGCACUCAUGAUGCUUAGGCUGGGGUGUAAGGUUCCACCCCCAACCUUCAUGCCUCACUCUCUGUUCAUGCAGCCCUGCCCUCUGAGCUCAGGCCCCGCCCCUUUUAAAUUCUGUGCAGACCAUAGUGCUGCUCAACCUGUACCGGAAUCCACAGAACACAGCCCAAACUGCAGACGGAUCACACUGUGAGUAAGGGACCAGGCCUGGGGGCAAGGUGAACAGCCCCCAGUAGGCUACACUCUGAUUCCACCCUGCCCGCCCCCACCCCAGGUCAUGUGAGUGACGUGGAGGUGCAGGAGCACUAUGAUAGCUUCUUCGAGGUGAGGGUUGGUAGGGGCAGAUGGGGUUUCUUGUGGGAGCUCAGCUGAGUUCCUCCCCGUCUUCCACAGGAGGUGUUCACAGAACUGCAGGAGAAGUAUGGGGAGAUUGAAGAGAUGAAUGUGUGCGACAACCUUGGGGACCACCUCGUGGGCAACGUCUAUGUCAAGGUGCUUGCUGCCCCCCACUUAGGGCCCAGAAGUGGAGGCGUUUCAAUGCCUGAUGGUGGCCACUGUAGGCUCUCAGCUUGAAUUUCAUCACUAAAUCCAGUCCAGCCCCAGAGCGGGUAGUGAGUCCCCUGAAGAUCUCUGAGUUCUCCUGCUGACCCUGACUGACAUUUCCUGCAGUUCCGGAGGGAGGAGGAUGGAGAGCGGGCCGUGGCUGAACUCAGUAACCGCUGGUUCAACGGGCAGGCUGUGCACGGGAAUGUACCCGAGGUGGCUUCUGCAACUUCAUGCAUCUGCGGCCCAUUUCCCAGAACCUCCAGAGGCAGCUCUAUGGGCGGGGACCCAGGCGCAGGCUGGAGUGCAAAGGCGCAGUCUUGGCUCAGUGCAACCUCUGCCUCCCAGAGAUGGGGUUUCACCACGUUGGCCAGCCUGGUCUCGAACUCCGGACCUCAGGUAAUCCACCCAUCUCGGCCUCCCAAAGUGUGGGGAUUACAGGCGUGAACCACUGCGCCCGGUCAUUCCCAAGACUCUUAUACCCUAAGAGUAGUUCUGAGCUCCAUCUGGAGACCAGUACCUAAGUCCCAAUCCCCAAACCAGCCUGAACCCCUAAUCCACGACCAGCCUGGAUUGCCACCCCUGAUACUGGCCACUGAGUUCCCCUGAUACUGGCCACUGAGGUCGUGUCUUAGAACUCUAGUUAUUUCAGCACCCUCCUGCCUCAUCCCAGAGCAGAGAGGCAGGCCUGCAGGAUCUCUGCACCACUCCUCAGGGUUCUAACAGAACUCUCAACGCUCCUAUUCCCAGGUCACCCCCGAGGUUCCAUACUGGCCACCAUCCCCGAGAGAGGAACCAUCGGUGUUCCCCUGAUCACUGGCAUGGCCGCUUCUGAGGCCCUGGCCCCCUUACCCUUCACCCCCAACAGGGACAGAUGUUCCUGGCAGGACCUCUCCUCAAAGCCCCCUUCACUCUCCUGCCCCAUCCUUCCCAGGCUCCCGGGCUCCAUAAUGUAAUCUGUUCAGCAUGGAGACCUUCUUCUACCGCCCCUGUCUUAAUAAAGCUGCGUGUUUCACUUCGGC